rnacentral:rRNA from 1 species
AGGACGAACGCUGGCGGCGUGCUUAACACAUGCAAGUCGAGCGGUAAGGCCUUUCGGGGUACACGAGCGGCGAACGGGUGAGUAACACGUGGGUGAUCUGCCCUGCACUCUGGGAUAAGCCUGGGAAACUGGGUCUAAUACCGGAUAUGACCUGCUCUCGCAUGGGGGGUGGGUGGAAAGAUUUAUCGGUGCAGGAUGGGCCCGCGGCCUAUCGAGCUUGUUGGUGGGGUAAUGGCCUACCAAGGCGACGACGGGUAGCCGACCUGAGAGGGUGACCGGCCACACUGGGACUGAGACACGGCCAGACUCCUACGGGAGGCAGCAGUGGGGAAUAGUUGCACAAGUGGGACGAAAGCCU